rnacentral:rRNA from 2 species
CAGUGUACCCGCGGCAAGACGGAAAGACCCCGUGAACCUUUACUAUAGCUUGACACUGAACACUGGUCCUUGAUGUGUAGGAUAGGUGGGAGGCUUUGAAGCGUGGACGCCAGUCUGCGUGGAGCCGUCCUUGAAAUACCACCCUUUAAUGGCUGGUGUUCUAACGUAGACCCGUGAUCCGGGUUGCGGACAGUGUCUGGUGGGUAGUUUGACUGGGGCGGUCUCCUCCCAAAGAGUAACGGAGGAGCACGAAG